UGUGAUAACGGCUCUAUCGCGGUUCCCUUGUGGAAACGAGGAAAGUCCGGGCAACAAAGAGUGACAUGCUUCUUAACGGGAAGAUGGGUGUGAACUUAUAGUAGCGUAACAGAGAAUAACCGCUCCUCGGAGUAAGGGUGAAAAGGUGAGGUAAGAGCUCACCGGUAUCUGUGGCAACAUGGAUAGCCGUACGCCUCAUGUGUUGUAAGGCCAAAUAUAUCUCGAACUUAUAUGAGUACAAGGCUGCUCGCUUUGGAGUAAAUCUUUAUGAAUUGCUGUCGAGAGGGGUAGGCUGCUUGAGUUUAUUGGUGACAAUAAAUCUAGAUAAAUGAUAGAGGCCUCGAAAGAGGUACAGAACUCGGCUUAUAUGUUAUCACAUUUA
rnacentral:RNase_P_RNA from 1 species